rnacentral:pre_miRNA from 1 species
AAAAUACUCCCUCCGUCCGAAAAUACUUGUCAUCAAAAUGGAUAAAAAGAGAUGUAUCUAAAACUAAAAUACGUCUAGAUACAUUUCCUUUUAUCCAUUUUGAUGACAAGUAUUUCCGGACGGAGGGGGUAUUUG